CGCUGAGUUUGAUCCUGGCUCAGGAUGAACGCUAGCGGCAGGCUUAACACAUGCAAGUCGAGGGGUAUAAGUCUUCGGAUUUAGAGACCGGCGCACGGGUGCGUAACGCGUAUGCAAUCUACCUUUUACAGAGGGAUAGCCCAGAGAAAUUUGGAUUAAUACCUCAUAGCAUAACGAGUUGGCAUCAACUUGUUAUUAAAGUCACAACGGUAAAAGAUGAGCAUGCGUCCCAUUAGCUAGUUGGUAAGGUAACCGGCUUACCAAGGCUACGAUGGGUAGGGGUCCUGAGAGGGACGAUCCCCCGACACUGGUACUGAGACACGGACCAGACUCCGUACGGGAG
rnacentral:rRNA from 1 species